rnacentral:rRNA from 1 species
UGGGGAAUAUUGCAAAAUGGGGGAAACCCUGAUGCAGCGACGCCGCGUGAGCGAUGAAGGCUUUCGAGUCGUAAAGCUCUGUCCUAUGGGAAGAUAAUGACGGUACCAUAGAAGAAAGAACCGGCUAAUUACGUGCCAGCAGCCGCGGUAAUACGUAAGGGGUGAGCGUUUUCCGGAAUUAUUGUGCGUAAAGAGUGCGUAGGCGGCGAAUUAUGUCAGAUGUGAAAACUAAGGGCUCAACCCAUAGAUUGCAUCUGAAACUGAUAUGUUUGAGUUAAGGAGAGGAAAGUGGAAUUCCUAGUGUGGCGAUGGAAUGCGUAGAUAUUAGGAGGAAUACCGGUGGGGAAGGCGACUUUCUGGACUUGAACUGACGCUGAGGCACGAAAGCGUGGGGAGCAAACAGG